GAGUUCCUCAACACUCGUCUUCUCUCCUUCCUCUCGGAUAACAGCAUCACUCUACAUCUCUCUUGCCCUCAUACCUCGCCACAAAACGGCAAGGCAAAGCGCGCCAUACGCAGCACCAAUGACAUCAUGUGCAGUAUGCUGCUACAAGCCCAUAUGCCACCAGAGUUUUGGGUCGAAAGCUUGAACACUGCUACUCACCUCCUCAACCUCCGGCCCUCCCGCGCCAUAGCCAACAACACGCCAUACUUCAUGCUCCACGGCAUUGCACCUACCUAUGACCACCUCCGCACCUUCGGAUGCCUUUGUUACCCAAACCUCUACGCCACUACCCCCAACAAGCUCGCUCCUAGGUCCCGUCGCUACGUACUCCUCGGCCUUCCCCACGAGCACAAAGGCUAUCGUUGCCUUGACCUUGCCACUAGCAAGGUCAUCACCUCGUGUCACGUUAUUUUUGACGAAAGCCAAUUCCCCUACACACCGGCCACACCCCCCACGUACCACAGAGAAUCCCAUGCAGAUCCCACCUACCUCGUACAAUCCAGCUGCUCCUCCCUCGGGAUCACCACCCGCCCAUCCGACCAAUCCGGUCCUCCCCGAAUCCGCGCUAGAUCGCGCCAGACAUGCCCCCACCUCCCAACCAAUCAGCCCCACCUCGGAUCCCGCAUCACCAGAUCAUGCGCCCACCAUCCCGUCUCCCAGCCAGUCCCACCCCGACCCCACACCACCCGCCACUCCGCGGUCGCCACGCAUGAGCCUGUCGGCCACUUCCAGCGGCAGCUCCAGCCCGUCCAAUCCCGCGUCGCCCCCCGGUCGGCCUCUACCUCCCCGCACCGUGCCCAUUAUUCCAUGCUGCGACGCCCAAGCCAUGCAAACAAGAGCCAAGUCUGGCUUUCUUCAACCCAAAACCCUCUUCUCCCCUAG
rnacentral:rRNA from 1 species